GGUUCAUUUGUUUUUUUUUUUCUUUUUCAACUUUAGAAAGAUACAUAUACUAUCUUCCUUCUAAAACUACACGAUCAUGCUAACUUUCUGUCAUACUCCAGAAAAAAGCUUGGCUUGCAAUGUUUUAUAUGUGAAUACCUACUGGAAUUGCUCUUGGAUACGUUUAUGGUGGAUUUGUUGGGGGCUAUUUUCAUUGGCGUUAUGCAUUAUGGGGAGAGGCAUUGUUGAUGCUUCUAUUUGCUGUUUUGGGCUUCGUGGUUAAACUUUUGCAGUUGAAAGGUUUCUCUCCUGUUGAAUCCAGAAAAACAUUAACAUCUGUGGAGACUGUUUCUUCCGUAAUUGAUGGUACGUGUUCCUUAUAGUGUUUUUAU